rnacentral:rRNA from 1 species
CAGUCGCCGCGGGAAUACGAAGGGGGCUAGCGUUGCUCGGAAUUACUGGGCGUAAAGGGAGCGUAGGCGGACAUUUAAGUCAGGGGUGAAAUCCCAGAGCUCAACUCUGGAACUGCCUUUGAUACUGGGUGUCUUGAGUGUGAUAGAGGUAUGUGGAACUCCGAGUGUAGAGGUGAAAUUCGUAGAUAUUCGGAAGAACACCAGUGGCGAAGGCGACAUACUGGAUCAUUACUGACGCUGAGGCUCGAAAGCGUGGGGAGCAAACAGGAUUAGAGACCCCAGUAGUCCCUGUCUCUUAUAC